UACGAAGGGGGCUAGCGUUGCUCGGAAUGACUGGGCGUAAAGGGCGCGUAGGCGGAUGGCACAGUCAGAUGUGAAAUUCCCGGGCUUAACCUGGGGGCUGCAUUUGAUACGUGUUGUCUUGAGUUCGGAAGAGGGUCGUGGAAUUCCCAGUGUAGAGGUGAAAUUCGUAGAUAUUGGGAAGAACACCGGUGGCGAAGGCGGCUAUCUGGACCGUAACUGACGCUGAGGCGCGAAAGCGUGGGGAGCAAACAGG
rnacentral:rRNA from 1 species